rnacentral:rRNA from 1 species
UACAGAGGUCUCAAGCGUUGUUCGGAUUCAUUGGGCGUAAAGGGUGUGUAGGUGGCGCCGUAAGUCGGGGUGUGAAAUUUCGGAGCUUAACUCCGAAACUGCAUUCGAUACUGCGGUGCUUGAGGACUGGAGAGGAGACUGGAAUUCAUGGUGUAGCAGUGAAAUGCGUAGAGAUCAUGAGGAAGACCAGUGGCGAAGGCGGGUCUCUGGACAGUUUCCUGACACUGAGACACGAAGGCCAGGGGAGCAAACGGG